CUCUCUGGACUUUGCCUAGGUUCCGUGGUUCCUCUUCUGUGGUCUCACUCUUCCCUACUCUCCCCCUCACUCUGAGGUUAAGGGGUCACUUAAAGCCUUGCCUCUGGGU
rnacentral:lncRNA from 1 species